GAGAUUUUUGUCUCUUAUAUUUUUUUCUCAAAACUAAUUCUUGGAAACAAAUAUUCUUCCAUCUUUUACCUUUCCACCAUUUUCCCUCUCACUUUACUGAUUAUCAAGACUGUACAUGGAGGAAUUUUAGUUUCAAAACAUAUUAACUCACUGGAUUUAAUUACAUACUGUGAAUGACUUAAGUUGUGAAUGGUACAUUUAAUCGUUUGCGCAAGAUAGAAAGCAAGACGACUCUACUUUAGAAAUGUCAGGCCCACUGGGCCCCCUACUUACGAGUGGCAACCCGGAAGAUCGUUUGCUGUAAUGGUGGCUGGUAUCCAGAACUACCCUAACAUCGGCGCUGGCCAAAAGAAUAGUAGAGUAAUCUGAUUUGAUUUACAUCUCUUUAUCUUGUUGUGAAUUUUAAUUGCGUAAGGCUUUUCAUCUGGUAUUAUUUUAGCUGCUGCUCUUGUCCAUUCAUUUAUGUGUUACACAAGAAUUUACAUUUUGCUUUUCAUCUGGUAUUAUUUUAGCUGCUGCUCUUGUCCAUUCAUUUAUGUGUUACACAAGAAUUUACAUUUUUCGCCGUUAUAACUCCUACUGGGCGUUCGCUCACCCGUUUUGUUUUGUUUUCACCCCCACAGAUUUUGAAGAGAGGUUAAUGCAGUAAGCUUAGGAAGAGCUUACAUCUAGGAGCUUAAGAGAAAGUUGGUAAUUUUGCUUGUCGAAUGUGUAUAUCACGGAGUCAUCUGGGUAGUUUGGUUCCCAUACAUCCAUGUCUAUUUUCUGUUGGUCGAUUCUCCCAUGUUUUUGGCUGUCUUAUAUUUCCGCUGUCAAAAUAAUUCUCUUGCCACUUUGAAUUUAAAAUUGACAAGCCAAGCCUUAUUUUUGCUUUUGCGAA